UGGGGAAGUUUUGGAUCAAUGGGGCAACCGUCGAUCCAGCCAUCCCGCGUGUGCGAUGAAGGCCUUCGGGUUGUAAAGCCCUUUUGUUGGGGAAGAAAUCCUGCUGGCUAAUACCCGGCGGGGAUGACGGUACCCAAAGAAUAAGCACCGGCUAACUUCGUGCCAGCAGCCGCGGUAAUACGAAGGGUGCAAGCGUUACUCGGAAUUACUGGGCGUAAAGCGUGCGUAGGUGGUUCGUUAAGUCUGAUGUGAAAGCCCCGGGCUCAACCUGGGAAUUGCAUUGGAUACUGGCGGGCUAGAGUACGGUAGAGGGUGGCGGAAUUCCUGGUGUAGCAGUGAAAUGCGUAGAGAUCAGGAGGAACAUCCGUGGCGAAGGCGGCCACCUGGACCAGUACUGACACUGAGGCACGAAAGCGUGGGGAGCAAACA
rnacentral:rRNA from 1 species